rnacentral:lncRNA from 1 species
UGAAGUCUUUCACAUGUCUUCAUGAAAAUGGAGCUGGCCAGGUACAGUGGCUGACACCUGUAAUCCCAGCACUUUGGGAGGCUGAGGCAGGUGGAUUGCUUGAGUCUAGGAGUUCAAGACCAGUCUGGUCAACAUGGUGAAAACACCAACUGUACACACACACAUACAUACACACACACACACACACACACACACACACACACACACACACACACACAAUUAGCUGAGCUUGGUGGCGCAUGCCUGUAGUCCUAGCUACUCAGGAAGCUGAGGUAGGAGGAUGGCUUGAGCCCUGGAGGCGAAGGUUGCGGUGAGCCAAGAUUGCGCCACUGCACUCCAGCCUGGGUACAGAGUGAGACCCUGUCUCAAAAAGGAGUGGGGAGAAAAUGGAACUCUUUUAUUUUUAUUUUUUUUAUUGAUCAUUCUUGGGUGUUUCUCGCAGAGGGGGAUUUGGCAGGGUCAUAGGACAAUAGUGGAGGGAAGGUCAGCAGAUAAACAAGUGAACAAAGGUCUCUGGUUUUCCUAGGCAGAGGACCCUGAGGCCUUCCGCAGUGUUUGUGUCCCUGGGUACUUGAGAUUAGGGAGUGGCGAUGACUCUUAAGGAGCAUGCUGCCUUCAAGCAUCUGUUUAAUAAAGCACAUCUUGCACCGCCCUUAAUCCACUUAACCCUGAGUGGACACAGCACAUGUUUCAGAGAGCACAGGGUUGGGGGUAAGGUCACCGAUCAACAGGAUCCCAAGGCAGAAGAAUUUUUCUUAGUACACAACAAAAUGAAAAGUCUCCCAUGUCUACUUCUUUCUACACAGACACGGGCACCCAUCCGAUUUCUCAAUCCCUUCCCCACCUUUCCCCCCUUUCUACUCCACAAAACCGCCNNNNNNNNNNAAAAAGAAUUUCUGGUCUGGCUGGUUAAUCUGGUGGUUGUGCAGAAACAGUCUUGAUGUGGCAGAGCCUUCAGGGGCAGAUGCCAGUGCUUGUCACGAGUUAGAACUGUACCUACCCUUUUAUGCCCACAGAGUCCUCCAGUGAGGACUGAUAGUGAAAGACUAUGCAUGUUUAUCUACUUAUCUGGUGAGAUGCUGUCUUUAUCAAGCAAAACAUCUUGUCUCUGUUGUGACAAAAUGGUGUAAAAAAAAAGUCAUAAAAAAUGUACAGUUUUAGGAAUUUGCUGAAAACGAAAUGUUGGCUGUUUCCUCAUGAAGUCUUUCACAUGUCUUCAUGAAAAUGGAGCUGGCCAGGUACAGUGGCUGACACCUGUAAUCCCAGCACUUUGGGAGGCUGAGGCAGGUGGAUUGCUUGAGUCUAGGAGUUCAAGACCAGUCUGGUCAACAUGGUGAAAACACCAACUGUACACACACACAUACAUACACACACACACACACACACACACACACACACACAAUUAGCUGAGCUUGGUGGCGCAUGCCUGUAGUCCUAGCUACUCAGGAAGCUGAGGUAGGAGGAUGGCUUGAGCCCUGGAGGCGAAGGUUGCGGUGAGGGCGGCGCGCGCCUGCAAUCGCAGGCACUCGGCAGGCUGAGGCAGGAGAAUCAGGCAGGGAGGUUGCAGUGAGCCGAGAUGGCAGCAGUACAGUCCAGCUUCGGCUGGGCAUCAGAGGGAGACCGUGGAAAGAGAGGGAGAGGGAGACCGUGGGGAGGGGGAGGGGGAGGAAAUGGAACUCUUUGUUUGUUUGUGUAAAGGAAAAUAAACCCUCUCAGGACUGCCCAAACUCUUUAUGCCAAAUGGAAACUUAAGACUGGAGAGACAGUCACGUGACACUGCUGCUGUCCCCUCGCACCUUGCCCCCCCUGCCCAGUAGAUAGCUGCGACUUCCCAACCUUGUGUCAAAGCGCUAUGCAUUAGCCACACCCCUGGAGAAGGCAGAAGGCCUCGUGCAUCCCGGAUGACUGCCCUCAAAUUGCUCAUAAGUAAAUUCUCUGCUGGUCCCUAAACCUUUCAAGAUGUGUAUCUUCCCAUAAAAAAGGACAUGUCAGCUGUAACUUUAGGUCUGCAAUCUAAGUCUAGCUCCCUGUCCAUGGAAUUGCAGUCUGUUACAUUUCACACUGACAAUGCCCAUUACAAGCUUAUCUUCCCAGGUGCAGAACAAAGACAGGACAGCAGUCAUUUCUCUGCCUACCCUGAGACUACAUAAUUAACUCUUCCUUUACUCCCUUUUUGAAUGUUUAUCAUAUCUCUUUUAUAGCGGAGUUUACUGGGCAGUAGUUAAAAUCUCAGGAGAAUGUUGCGUUUGCCUCACCACCUGCCCCCUUUUCCUGCAUGCCUUCUCCCCUUUAAAGAAAUGGGUAAAUACUGAGCAACCUCUUUGGGAGCACCAGCCACAGAGGGUUCUGUGAUU